rnacentral:rRNA from 1 species
AGUGAACGCUGGCGGUAGGCCUAACACAUGCAAGUCGAACGGCAGCACAGUAAGAGCUUGCUCUUACGGGUGGCGAGUGGCGGACGGGUGAGGAAUACCUCGGAAUCUACUUUUUCGUGGGGGAUAACGUAGGGAAACUUACGCUAAUACCGCAUACGACCUACGGGUGGGAGCAGGGGAUCUUCGGACCUUGCGCGAUUGAAUGAGCCGAUGUCGGGUUAGCUAGUUGGCGGGGUAAAGGCCCACCAAGGCGACGAUCCGUAGCUGGUCUGAGAGGAUGAUCAGCCACACUGGAACUGAGACACGGUCCAGACUCCUACGGGAGGCAGCAGUGGGGAAUAUUGGACAAUGGGCGCAAGCCUGAUCCAGCCAUACCGCGUGGGUGAAGAAGGCCUUCGGGUUGUAAAGCCCUUUUGUUGGGAAAGAAAAGCAGCAGGUUAAUACCCCGCUGUUCUGACGGUACCCAAAGAAUAAGCACCGGCUAACUUCGUG